rnacentral:rRNA from 1 species
CAGAUUGAACGCUGGCGGCAGGCCUAACACAUGCAAGUCGAACGGUAACAGGAAGCAGCUUGCUGCUUUGCUGACGAGUGGCGGACGGGUGAGUAAUGUCUGGGAAACUGCCUGAUGGAGGGGGAUAACUACUGGAAACGGUGGCUAAUACCGCAUAACGUCGCAAGACCAAAGAGGGGGACCUUCGGGCCUCUUGCCAUCAGAUGUGCCCAGAUGGGAUUAGCUUGUUGGUGAGGUAACGGCUCACCAAGGCGACGAUCCCUAGCUGGUCUGAGAGGAUGACCAGCCACACUGGAACUGAGACACGGUCCAGACUCCUACGGGAGGCAGCAGUGGGGAAUAUUGCACAAUGGGCGCAAGCCUGAUGCAGCCAUGCCGCGUGUAUGAAGAAGGCCUUCGGGUUGUAAAGUACUUUCAGCGGGGAGGAAGGUGUUGUGGUUAAUAACCACAGCAAUUGACGUUACCCGCAGAAGAAGCACCGGCUAACUCCGUGCCAGCAGCCGCGGUAAUACGGAGGGUGCAAGCGUUAAUCGGAAUUACUGGGCGUAAAGCGCACGCAGGCGGUCUGUCAAGUCGGAUGUGAAAUCCCCGGGCUCAACCUGGGAACUGCAUUCGAAACUGGCAGGCUUGAGUCUUGUAGAGGGGGGUAGAAUUCCAGGUGUAGCGGUGAAAUGCGUAGAGAUCUGGAGGAAUACCGGUGGCGAAGGCGGCCCCCUGGACAAAGACUGACGCUCAGGUGCGAAAGCGUGGGGAGCAAACAGGAUUAGAUACCCUGGUAGUCCACGCCGUAAACGAUGUCUACUUGGAGGUUGUGCCCUUGAGGCGUGGCUUCCGGAGCUAACGCGUUAAGUAGACCGCCUGGGGAGUACGGCCGCAAGGUUAAAACUCAAAUGAAUUGACGGGGGCCCGCACAAGCGGUGGAGCAUGUGGUUUAAUUCGAUGCAACGCGAAGAACCUUACCUGGUCUUGACAUCCACAGAACUUUCCAGAGAUGGAUUGGUGCCUUCGGGAACUGUGAGACAGGUGCUGCAUGGCUGUCGUCAGCUCGUGUUGUGAAAUGUUGGGUUAAGUCCCGCAACGAGCGCAACCCUUAUCCUUUGUUGCCAGCGGUUAGGCCGGGAACUCAAAGGAGACUGCCAGUGAUAAACUGGAGGAAGGUGGGGAUGACGUCAAGUCAUCAUGGCCCUUACGACCAGGGCUACACACGUGCUACAAUGGCGCAUACAAAGAGAAGCGACCUCGCGAGAGCAAGCGGACCUCAUAAAGUGCGUCGUAGUCCGGAUUGGAGUCUGCAACUCGACUCCAUGAAGUCGGAAUCGCUAGUAAUCGUGGAUCAGAAUGCCACGGUGAAUACGUUCCCGGGCCUUGUACACACCGCCCGUCACACCAUGGGAGUGGGUUGCAAAAGAAGUAGGUAGCUUAACCUUCGGGAGGGCGCUUACCACUUUGUGAUUCAUGACUGGGGUGAAGUCGUAACAAGGUAACCGUAGGGGAACCUGC